rnacentral:rRNA from 1 species
CUGCAGCUCAAGUGGUGACCACUAUUAUUGGGCCUAAAACGUUCGUAGCCGGUUUGGUAAAUGCCUGGGUAAAUCGUGUAGCUUAACUAUACGAAUUCCGGGUAGACUGCCAAACUUGAGACCGGGAGAAGCUAGAGGUACUCCUGGGGUAGAGGUGAAAUUCUGUAAUCCUGGGGGGACCACCAGUGGCGAAGGCGUCUAGCUAGAACGGGUCUGACGGUGAGGAACGAAGCCCUGGGGCGCAAACCGGAUUAGAGACCCGUGUAGUCC